ensembl:lncRNA novel transcript, antisense DYNLRB2
UGCAUUCCUGACCACGGUUGAGCAUGUCUCGGCCUGCAGCUGCAUUGCAACUACCUAGAGAACAUUUGCAAAAUUUACACGUGCAGGCACUGCUCCCAGGAGUAUGGAGUUAUGCAGUGGGGCUCAGACAUCUGUUGCAUACAAAGGUUUGGCUGUUUGGCUUCAGUCUCCCUUGUCUCCCUCAGCCUUGGGAGGAGAUAUGAAGGUGAAUUUGGAAUUGCUAUCAAAUUCCUUAGGUAUCCGUAUUAAGGGCACUCAAGAAAUGAGCCUAACAUGGCUCCUGGUUUCCUUCAGAGAAUGUGGGUCCAGAAACGAUUAAACGAGACAAGCGCUUUCAAGAAUGGAAGAGUGUUACAAACUUAGGAUUUUACCAGGUUUUCAUAAAAAUCUUGAAGACCAUCAAUUUUGACUUUGAAGACUGAUUUCUCUUUCUUUUAAGAUAACUGCUAUGUCCAGAAUGUUUUGCUAAACAGUAUGAGGAUAAUAUUUACAGGAAAACCUAUUCAAUAAAUAAAGCAUAAUAAAAACCUUGCU